ACGAAGUUACUUGGAGUUUGUUAGCUGGCUGCCUUGGCAGCAUGUGCUCGCUCCAUUUCUUCAUUUCCACCUGUGCACCUUUUGUAGGACUAUGUCUCUAUCGUGCGUUAGGGCUUGUCUCUAAUUGCCGGCUAUGGGAGGUUAAUCCUUUUUGGAUUUCCGCCCGUUUUCAUAGUCCUAUGUCUUAUACACUCUUUAAUAACCUAGAAUGUCUUUUGUGGGUCUUGUACCUAUAAACUUUAUA
rnacentral:misc_RNA from 1 species